UUCUUCAGCCACUGGUUGACAUGCCAUUUGCCGUCGGCCUGACGUUCGGCCACGCGCGCCUCGCCCUUGUCGAGCAGGUUGAGCGCCAGCUCCACGGCGUCGCGCACCUCGCCCUUGGUAUUGGCGUUGACGGUAUCGCGGGCCUCGAAGGCGGCAUUCAGCGUGUUUUCAAGCGCGGAGAGAGACAUCGGUGUUCCUUGGGGGAAAAGCAGUUUUGGAUGCC
rnacentral:misc_RNA from 1 species